GUCUUCCUAGCUCAGUUGGUAGAGCGUGAGACUCUUAAUCUCAGGGUUGUGGGUUCGAGCCCCAUGUUGGGCA